AUGCAAGUCGAGCGGAGACAAUAGGCUUCGGCCGAUUGUUUUAGCGGCGGACGGGUGAGUAACGCGUGAGCAAUCUGUCCCAGACAGGGGGAUAACACUUGGAAACAGGUGCUAAUACCGCAUAAGACCACGGGAUCACAUGGUUUUGGGGUAAAAGGAGAAAUCCGGUUUGGGGUGAGCUCGCGUCCGAUUAGCUGGUUGGUGAGGUAAAGGCCCACCAAGGCGACGAUCGGUAGCCGACCUGAGAGGGUGAUCGGCCACAUUGGAACUGAGAAACGGUCCAAACUCC
rnacentral:rRNA from 1 species